rnacentral:tRNA from 1 species
UGGGAGGUGGUGCAAUGGCAGCACGCGGGACUUUGGAUCCUGAAAUGGAGGUUCGACCCCUCCCCUCCCAGCCA